rnacentral:rRNA from 1 species
AUGCUGCAGCACCUGGACCUCAAGGACGAUGAACUUGAUGAUGUGAUCGUGGGAGAGGAGGAAACAAAGAAGUACGCAGCCGAUGCGCGUUGGCUGGCGAUCAGGAAGGUUAACACGGCCCGACAGUUCAGCUCAUCAUCGAUUUUUUAGACCAUGAAAUCCAUCUGGGGAUUAGCACAAGUGCCAAAGUACAGAGAAGCGGGUGAGAACCUAUACAUCUUUCAGAUGUUCUGCUUGGGAGAUUGGAAGAAGGUUGUUCAUGGAGGACCCUGGUUAUUCAGGGGGAUGGGUAUGCUCAUUGAGGAUUAUGACGGCAAGCAAGAUCCGGCAUCUUUCGUCUUUGAUGGCUUGUAUGUAUGGGCGCAGAUCCACAAUAUUCCAGAAUUGUAUCGCAAGAUCGAGGUACUUGAUCAACUAGCACGGCGGAUCGGCCGGGUUAAGGAGACACAACUUUCACCUAGACUUUACUACGAGGGUGACUAUGUACGGGUCCGUGCUAGGGUUCUGGUCAAUAAACCCCUUACAAGGGUGACUCCGUUGAAUGUGGCAGGUGAAGGCAGGAUUUUCCUCCCUGUCAAGUAUGAAAAGAUACCCUAUUUUUGCCAAGUCUGCGGCCUCAUGGGUCACAACCAUGAGGAGUGUGGAGAUGGAGUUUGGGAGGCGAAGGACAAGCAAUGGGGUGGCUGGAUGCUGGCGCAGCGAAGGGAGAUACCCCAGGAGCAGCUAGGUGGCCGAGCUCCUCGAGGAGGCCGCUUUGGGGGCCGAGGCACAGGAAGAUCAAGCCGGGUGCUGCACCAACACACCAAACAUCUCCAGUGCGUAAACGCUCAUCUCAGGAGGCGGGUCUCUCGGAUGCAGAAGACGGAGAAGAAGAUGUUACCAGCCCCUUGA